rnacentral:rRNA from 1 species
CAAAGGGAUUACCGGUGGCGGAUGGGCAUGCGGCGCAUUAGCUAGUCGGCGGGGUAACGGCCCACCGAGGCGACGAUGCGUAGGGGUUCUGAGAGGAAGGUCCCCCACACUGGUACUGAGACACGGACCAGACUCCUACGGGAGGCAGCAGUGAGGAAUAUUGGUCAAUGGGCGCGAGCCUGAACCAGCCAAGUCGCGUGAGGGAUGACGGUCCUACGGAUUGUAAACCUCUUUUGCCGGGGAGCAAGCGUGCGUUCGUGAACGCGCGUCGAGAGUACCCGGAGAAAAAGCAUCGGCUAACUCCGUGCCAGCAGCCGCGGUAAUACGGAGGAUGCGAGCGUUAUCCGGAUUUAUUGGGUUUAAAGGGUGCGUAGGCGGGAUGCCAAGUCAGCGGUAAAAAUGCGGUGCUCAACGCCGUCGAGCCGUUGAAACUGGCGUUCUUGAGUGGGCGAGAAGUAUGCGGAAUGCGUGGUGUAGCGGUGAAAUGCAUAGAUAUCACGCAGAACUCCGAUUGCGAAGGCAGCAUACCGGCGCCCUACUGACGCUGAGGCACGAAAGCGUGGGUAUCGAACAGGAUUAGAUACCCUGGUAGUCCACGCAGUAAACGAUGAAUGCUAACCGUCCGGCUCGAAUGAGCGCUGG